AGAGUGAGUCAAGAAACCACCAACCGAAUCAUGACCUAAGAUCUUGAGUUGAGGAGCCCAACUAGUGCACACCACGCCACGCCCUUUUGUUCGUUCCUCGAACCCAUCUGGUAACUCGACCACCUCAGUAUCAGCCAAGCCGCGACGCUUCCUCAGCACCCAAAAGAAUGGUAAUCCACACAACUCUAACCCGAGCGCAAUCUCAGUAAUCUCUAUUUGACUCGGUUUGGCCUCACUGCCAAAAGCUACAUACACUACAGAACCCUUCCCUUGAUUAUCAAGCCAUUGUUUGAUUAAACUCCAUGUGUCAAUUUCCUCGCCGGUGUCGUAGUCCGUAGUGGGAAGCAUACCAACCGGUAUACAAGGUUUCCCUUGGAUCUCUU
rnacentral:misc_RNA from 1 species